GGUUAGAAGUCCAGGAGCUGUAUCAAACUGGCCAAGUAUGUUGGACUCUGAAGCAUUUUAGGCUCGGAGCAUUUAGCAGGCCCAACUUAGCCCCCGUUAGAGAUACUCACUCAGCUUCAGCCAGAUGCCAAGCAACCUUCUGUUUAUUCCACUGUGGUUAAGUCAGAGUCAUGAGGGCAACACAGACAGUGAAGAGCAGGAGCUGGGGAUGUGUUCAGCAGUGCAACCUAACUGACAACAUGGCCGGAGAAGGAACAUCACUCAAGGCAUCCAGGGUCAAUCAUUACACUGGCAACCAUGAGAUGAGCAGCAUGCUCUGCUAUGUGGCCCCACCACAAUGUCCAAUCAACUAUGGAAUGCAACUUCCAAAACUGGAAUCCAAAAUACAUCUUUCUUCCUUUUAAUUUUAUUAUCUCAGGGUUUUGCUAUAGUAAUACAAUGUUUAUUAACACAGGGUAGCAACAGUUAUUGUGAAACUACCAAGUUAUUAUAAACUAUACCAGAUAUCUUAUCAUUGUUAUCUACUUUUAUUCUCCCCAAACCAAAGGCCCCUUGGAUAGAAAGUGGUAGGGU
ensembl:lncRNA